CAGAUCUCCAGGCUCAAAGCGUCAGUCCACCAGCUGAAUACUCAGUCAGACUGGUGGAUGGGACCACUUCCUGUUCUGGGACAGUGGAAGUCUUCUACAGAGGAGAGUGGACAGGUGUAUGUACUAGGUGGUGGGACAUGAUGAGAGAGACCAAGGUUGUGUGUAGAGAGCUGAACUGUGGGAAUGUUGUAGCUGAAUCUAUAGGACCUCUGAUUGAAGAUGGAAGAAGAGGAGUCAGACUAUUUGGUUGCUAUGGAGAUGAGUCUUCUAUUAGACAGUGUGACAUCAUAGGAGGAAGAGCUGGUUUCUGUGAUGGUAGAUAUUAUCAUCAUGUGAUCUGUUCAGAGUCUGUGCGGCUUGUGGAUGGAGCUGGUCUCUGCUCUGGGAGAGUGGAGGUGAAGUCCAAUCAGUCCUGGGCCUCAGUGUGUGAAGCUGACUUUGACCGGCAGGAUGCAGAGGUAGUCUGUAGGGAUGUUGGCUGUGGGGCUCCUGCAGCUCUACAGGGGGGGCUCUAUGGAGAAGGUGAGGGUCAGACCUGGGAUAAAGAGUUCCAGUGUAAAGGCAAAGAGUCCCUUCUCCUGGACUGUGACACCUCAGACAGAAAACACAACACCUGCCUACCUGGUAAUGCUGUUGGACUCACCU